GGCCUCAGGGAAGAUUAGUUUAUUGUAAUUAAGGAGGUUAUAUUAGAAGGAGAGAGGACGAAAGACAAUAAUUACACAUAAAAUGUUACCGACUUUUCUGUAAGUGGGUGUUAAUUACUUGAGAUCGACUCUGUCACAGAGGGAGAUUUUGUCCUAAUUACAUACCCGAGUAAGAACGGAAACACCCGAGGUGUCAUAACUGACCGGAAAUAUAAUUAUUGAC
rnacentral:lncRNA from 1 species